GCAAUUGAGUUAAUAAUUUUAGUAUUUUAUUAUUUAAACAUAAAAUCUGAUAUUGUCAUGCAAUUAGUAGAGCAUAACUUUUCAUCAUGCACUGACCUGUGUCCAUGCCAGGCAAGUGAAAUGUGUAGAAAUAUAAGUACACGUCUUGUGACGGUUGGAGAAAAUGAAGAUGAUGGAGAUAACGCUUUUUUAAGCUUGAUACAAUGGUAC
rnacentral:lncRNA from 1 species